UACGGGGGGGGCAAGCGUUGUUCGGAAUUACUGGGCGUAAAGGGCUCGUAGGCGGCCAACUAAGUCAGACGUGAAAUCCCUCGGCUUAACCGGGGAACUGCGUCUGAUACUGGAUGGCUAGAGUUUGGGGAGAGGGAUGCGGAAUUCCAGGUGUAGCGGUGAAAUGCGUAGAUAUCGAGAGGAACACCGGUGGCGAAGGCGGGUCUCUGGGCCGAUACUGACGCUGAGGAGCGAAAGCGUGGGGAGCGAACAGG
rnacentral:rRNA from 1 species